rnacentral:rRNA from 1 species
GCCUGAGAAAUGGCCACUACGUCUAAGGAUGGCAGCAGGCGCGCAAAUUACCCACUCUCGGCAAGAGGAGGUAGUGACGAGAAAUAACGAGGCCGUUCUCACAAGAGGCCGGUCAUCGGAAUGGGUACAAUUUAAACCCUUGGCACGAGUAUCUAUGAGAGGGCAAGUCUGGUGCCAGCAGCCGCGGUAAUUCCAGCUCUCAAAAUGCAUAGAACCAUUGCUGCGGUUAAAAAGCUCGUAGUUGGAUCUGCGCCGGCGGGCGAGUCCCCCCUCACCGGGGCGGCACCCGUUCCCGCCGGCUAGUGACGGUGCCGGCCGGGGUGGUGGCCUAACCAUGGCCCCACACUGCCGCCUGUCGUUUUACUUUGAACAAAUCAGAGUGCUCAGCACAGGCGUCUCGCCUGAAUGUUCGUGCAUGGAAUAAUAGAAGGGGAUUUCGGUCCUAUUUUAUUGGUUUUGAGCAGCCGAGAUAAUGGUUAACAGAGACAAACGGGGGCAUUCGUAUUGCUGCGUGAGAGGUGAAAUUCUUGGACCGCAGCAAGACGGACAACAGCGAAAGCAUUUGCCAAGAAUGUCUUCAUUAAUCAAGAACGAAAGUCAGAGGUUCGAAGGCGAUCAGAUACCGCCCUAGUUCUGACCGUAAACGAUGCCAACUAGCGAUCCGCCGGCGGAUUCCAAACGCCCUGGUGGGGAGCUUCCCGGAAACGAUUAAGUUUUCCGGUUCCGGGGGAAGUAUGGUUGCAAAGCUGAAACUUAAAGGAAUUGACGGAAGGGCACCACCAGGAGUGGAGCCUGCGGCUUAAUUUGACUCAGCACGGGGAAACUCACCCGGCCCGGACACCGCGAGGAUUGACAGAUUGAUAGCUCUUUCAUGAUUCGGUGGAUGGUGGUGCAUGGCCGUUCUUAGUUCGUGGAGUGAUUUGUCUGGUUUAUUCCGAUAACGAGCGAGACUCUAGCCUACUAACUAGUCCGCAUGCUCCCCAGUGGAGGCAUGUCCCUUCAAUGGACUUCUUAGAGGGAUUUUCGGCGUUUCAGCCGCACGAAACUGAGCAAUAACAGGUCUGUGAUGCCCUUAGAUGUCCAGGGCUGCACGCGCGCUACACUGGCGAAAUCAGCGUGCCUGUCCUCUCGCGAAAGCGACUGGUAAACCGGUGAAAAUUUGCCGUGAUUGGGAUCGGAAAUUGCAAUUAUUUUCCGUGAACGAGGAAUUCCAAGUAAGUGCGAGUCAUCAACUCGCGUUGAUUACGUCCCUGCCCUUUGUACACACC